AAUAAUCUUCAGGGCAGGGCGCAAUCCCCGACCGGCGGUGACAGUCCGCGAACACGCAGUGUACGAUUUGGUGAAAUUCCAAAACCGACAGUAAAGUCUGGAUGAGAGAAGAUAUGA
rfam:Megasphaera sp. DJF_B143 contig_4, whole genome shotgun sequence.